GCCUAGCCAUAAACUUUGAUUAUCCGCCAGAGUACUACGAGCUACAGCUUAAAACUCAAAGGACUUGGCGGUGCUUUACACCCCCCUAGAGGAGCCUGUUCUAUAAUCGAUAAUCCCCGAUAAACCUCACCACCUAUUGCCAAUACAGCCUAUAUACCACCGUCCAGCCCGCCCUUUAAAGGGUAAACAGCAGGCAUAAUUAUAAACAUAAAAACGUCAGGUCAAGGUGUAGCAGAUAAGGUGGAAAGAAAUGGGCUACAUUUUCUAACUUAGAAAACACGGAUGAUUCUAUGAAAUAGUUUCUGAAGGAGGAUUUAGCAGUAAAAAGAAAUAAGAACGUUCUUUUUAAGACGGCAAUAAAGCGCGC
rnacentral:rRNA from 2 species